rnacentral:rRNA from 1 species
UACGAAGGGGGCUAGCGUUGUUCGGAAUUACUGGGCGUAAAGCGUGCGCAGGCGGCUUCUCAAGUCAGGGGUGAAAGCCCAGAGCUCAACUCUGGAAUUGCCUUUGAGACUGAGUGGCUUGAGUACGGGAGAGGUGAGUGGAAUUCCUGGUGUAGCGGUGAAAUGCGCAGAUAUCAGGAGGAACACCGGUGGCGAAGGCGGGUCUCUGGGCCGAUGCUGACGCUGAGGCGCGACAGCGUGGGGAGCAAACAGG